rnacentral:rRNA from 1 species
UACGUAGGCGGAAAAUUAAGUCAGUAGUGAAAUCCUGCAGCUUAACUGUAGAACUGUUAUUGAUACUGGUUUUCUUGAAUAUAGUUGAGGUAGGCGGAAUGUGUAAUGUAGCGGUGAAAUGCUUAGAUAUUACACAGAACACCGAUUGCGAAGGCAGCUUACUGAGCUAUGAUUGACGCUGAGGUACGAAAGCGUGGGGAGCGAACAGGAUUAGAUACCCUGGUAGUCC